rnacentral:rRNA from 2 species
UGGGGAAUAUUGCACAAUGGGGGAAACCCUGAUGCAGCAACGCCGCGUGAGUGAUGACGGUCUUCGGAUUGUAAAACUCUGUCUUCAGGGACGAUAAUGACGGUACCUGAGGAGGAAGCCACGGCUAACUACGUGCCAGCAGCCGCGGUAAUACGUAGGUGGCAAGCGUUGUCCGGAUUUACUGGGCGUAAAGGGAGCGUAGGUGGAUAUUUAAGUGGGAUGUGAAAUACUCGGGCUUAACCUGGGUGCUGCAUUCCAAACUGGAUAUCUAGAGUGCAGGAGAGGAAAGUAGAAUUCCUAGUGUAGCGGUGAAAUGCGUAGAGAUUAGGAAGAAUACCAGUGGCGAAGGCGACUUUCUGGACUGUAACUGACACUGAGGCUCGAAAGCGUGGGGAGCAAACA